CGCGUAGGUGGUUUAUUAAGAUUGUUGUGAAAUCCCUGGGCUUAACCUAGGAACUGCAACGAUGACUGAUAAGCUUGAGUAUUGUAGAGGGUAGUGGAAUUCCGGUGUAGCGGUGAAAUGCGUAGAGAUCGGAAGGAACACCAGUGGCGAAGGCGGCUACCUGGACAAAUACUGACACUGAGGCGCGAGAGCGUGGGGAGCAAACA
rnacentral:rRNA from 1 species